GAUGAACGCUAGCGGCAGGCCUAACACAUGCAAGUCGAGGGGUAACUAGAGUGAUAGCAAUAUUACUUUGGCUAGACCGGCGCACGGGUGCGUAACACGUAUGCAACCUACCUUAUACUGGGGAAUAACUUCGAGAAAUCGGCGCUAAUACCCCAUAACAUUGCGAAGAGGCAUCUCUUUGCAAUUAAAGCUCCGGCGGUAUAAGAUGGGCAUGCGUCCGAUUAGCUAGUUGGUGAGGUAACGGCUCACCAAGGCUACGAUUGGUAGGGGUUCUGAGAGGAUGAUCCCCCACACUGGUACUGAGACACGGACCAGACUCCUACGGGAGGCAGCAGUGAGGAAUAUUGCGCAAUGGACGAAAGUCUGACGCAGCCAUGCCGCGUGCAGGAUGACGGCCCUAUGGGUUGUAAACUGCUUUUGUACGGGAGUAAACCCUUCUACGUGUAGGAGGCUGAAGGUACCGUAAGAAUAAGCACCGGCUAACUCCGUGCCAGCAGCCGCGGUAAUAC
rnacentral:rRNA from 1 species